rnacentral:rRNA from 1 species
UACGGAGGGUGCAAGCGUUAACCGGAAUUACUGGGCGUAAAGGGUGCGUAGGUGGCUUGAUAAGUUAUCUGUGAAAUUCCCGGGCUCAACCUGGGUCGGUCAGAUAAGACUGUUGAACUUGAGUAUAGGAGAGGGUAGUGGAAUUUCCGGUGUAGCGGUGAAAUGCGUAGAGAUCGGAAGGAACACCAGUGGCGAAGGCGGCUACCUGGCCUAAUACUGACACUGAGGCACGAAAGCGUGGGGAGCAAAC